rnacentral:rRNA from 1 species
CCUACGGGCGGCAGCAGUGAGGAAUAUUGGUCAAUGGACGAGAGUCUGAACCAGCCAAGUCGCGUGAAGGAUGACUGCCCUAUGGGUUGUAAACUUCUUUUGUACAAGAGUAAAACUGACCACGUGUGUUCUUCUGAAUGUACUUUACGAAUAAGGAUCGGCUAACUCCGUGCCAGCAGCCGCGGUAAUACGGAGGAUCCGAGCGUUAUCCGGAUUUAUUGGGUUUAAAGGGUGCGUAGGCGGGUUGUUAAGUUAGAGGUGAAAUUUCCGGGCUUAACUCGGGAACUGCCUGUAAUACUGGUGAUCUUGAGAGUAGUUGCGGUAGGCGGAAUGCGUGGUGUAGCGGUGAAAUGCUUAGAGAUCACGCAGAACACCGAUUGCGAAGGCAGCUUACCAAUCUGUAACUGACGUUGAGGCACGAAAGUGUGGGGAGCAAACAGGAUUAGAUACCCGUGUAGUC